rnacentral:lncRNA from 1 species
UUUAAAAUAUAGUUGAAACAAAUAGGAAUCCCUUUUAUUUCCAAUCUCAUCUCAUGUUUCCAUAAUGGAGAUACUGGGAUUAAAGAUGAUUAUAAAGUGAAUGUAGAUUUGUGAGAAGUAGGCUAUCAUGAGAAAUGCUGGGGGUGUGGAGCCCUUGCAAACACUUCCCAGGAUCCGAAAGCAGAAAGGAUAGAGGAAAGGCAUUAGACUAAGCCAUGAGAGUCAUGGCAGGAAGAGGAUUUGAAGAAUGAAGCUUGCAGCACUCUUGUUGAAAGACUGAAGGCUGGAAACUCUGGAGGAACAGGGACAUGGCCUAUCUUGUUCAUGUGCCUCGAUCAGUGCUAAGCACAGAAUGGACAUUCAAUAAAUGCUA